AUCAAGGAAACAAGUAAUUAUGAAUCAAACAUCUUUGUUUUGAUCAAGGAGAGUAUGGAGGUAGAAGAAUUGGUUUGUUAAUGACUGUAUUUAUAGCGCCGAUCAUCUCAUGCGGUGACGAGAAUCCAUCUUUACCCAUGUAGAAGAGGUGAACAAUCUUGCUUGUUUUCCAGAACAGAUCUUUGCAAACUUUGGGAACCACACUCCCCUCUGUUUGGACCACCAUCCGCAGCAACUCUCUUCUAUGGCUCUCGAUUAGUCUCUUGGUCUCACUUAUGGCCUCUUCCUCAGAAACACUGCCAUCGCCAUGAAUCACGCGUAAUGCCAAGCUGUUGAGUUUUCCUUGUUCGCUUUCUCUCUUGACGGUCGUGAGAUCAUUCAAGAGCCUUGAAAUUAUGCUCAUAUGCCUAAAUAGAUCGUCAUAUUCCUUGCUCUUUACUGCUUCCUCUGACAAUUUGCACCCAAGAAAAUAAAGAGGUACGAGAACUACAGGUCCCAAGGCGACGCUCACGUAUGCACUCGACAUAUAAUCAUCCACUGAGGGCACCGAUUCACCUCUUGCCCACUCGAACUCUCUCCACAUGGUCUCCAGUAAUAUGAGCCAUAUCUCAAUUAAGUGAUCUUUGACGCUUCUUCCUUGUUCUAUGCCAGCCUUGACUGCAAACUCGUUGGUUGUAUCAUAAACUGCAGAGAAAAUAAUCUCAAUUUGUUCCGAGCAGAACCCCACCUCUGAAUGUUUAUCCCACUUUUUCACCAAUUCAAACAUGUUUAGUAUCUCUUUUUCGGAUCCGCCAACAUCGAAUAGAUCAUCAAUCAGAGUUACAAGAACAGUAAAUUUAGCCCAUGCAAUUCUAGCAUCCGAGUGCUCGGGAGAGAAAAGUACUGAGGCAGCAGCGAAAAACCCAUAAGUUAUCUUCUGUCUUGCAAACUUAAGCUCAUCCAUCCUGUAUUCUUUGACCCAUCUUUCCAAGAUCUUAAGUUCUUUUUGGUGUAUGUAUUGGCAGGCAUUAAAAUCCUUCAGUGACAAAUCCAGCAAAUACUUGUUGUCGAUAUUGGAGCACCUGUAAGAUGUUUUGAGAAGUCGGACAUUGUCUAUUUCUUGCAACUCUAUGCUUUUCCUGUUCUCAAGCCUUUCCAAACUGGCAUGAGGAUACUUGAGAGCAUAUUCAACCUCCUUGUGCAAUUGCUUCUCGCCAACAGCACCUUUUCCUAUCGCCAGUUUGAGAAAGGAGCUAGUCCACACAUAUAUUUUCUCAAGAAUGUGUUCACUUGGGAGUAUUGCCAUCUGCGAAGCUUUGUAUAAUUCAAGAAUUGUGUUCGUGUCUUUGUACUGUUCGCUGACAGAAUUGAAGAACUGCUCUUGCUCAUCAAGUCCUGCGAAUACAUCAGAGGAAAUUUCAUAUCCAUUCAUCCUUAGAAGUCGAAAGCCCAUGGCAAGACAGGCAAUGUCUGAGAAUAUUUCCUCAUCUCCUUGCAGCCAGCAUCUGUAUAUUUCAUCCAGAAUUGUUUGAAUCUCGUUUCUGAAAUAUUGAUCUAUGCCCAGCCUCUCGAGUUUAUCAACAGUACAUAGGCGAGCAUAUAUAUCUAAAGGGUAGAUUGUUGGAACUGCAUUUUCGUAUCUUUGAAGAAGGGAAUUCAAGUACAUGAAGCAUUUAUCAUCAUUCAGGUGAAGCAAAGCUGCUGCUGUAGUGGAUGGGGAAUUAAACAGAGACCCAUUGCUCCUCUGAUAUUUCAUUAUAUCCUUCCACUCGUCAGGUUU
rnacentral:misc_RNA from 1 species